GCAGACACAUUCCAGCCAAUCAGCAGCAGACCCUCCCUCCCAGACCCUCCCACCUCCUGGACAGCUCACUAAGAAUGCAGCUUCACAUUGAAUGUAAAAUGGAUGCUGUCCAGGAGGUGGGAGGGUCUGGGAGGGAGGGUCUGCUGCUGAUUGGCUGGAAUGUGUCUG